GACGCGAUGGCUGAGUGGUCUAAAGCGACAGAUUCGAAUGCCAACACAUGUAUAUCUUGUUUAUCUGUUCCACUUUGUGGGCGCAGGUUCAAAUCCUGCUCGCGUCG